CAUUGCUGCUAUUUCUACCUAAAUUUCAAGUAAAAAAGAAAUAAUCAGAAAAAUCUGGAAAGGAUUUGGUGGAAAAUGAGUUUUAAGAUAAAAACUUUGAUGCUAUCUCUAAAUUACAUAUAGCAGCAAACAUACUUUAACUGGCAUGUGUUUACAUCACCAGAAAGUUAUAAUGGGUGAUCCUAAAGAACUUUCUGAGUUAUCAGAUAAAAUGUUCUUAUAUUCGAUAUAGCUUUACUUACAUAUUAGAUUUCAGAUACCCAUAAACUUAUCCAUUAAACUGGGAAGAAAUAUUUCUGAACUUUUUUCCUCAGAAUUAUUUUACCAUGAAACUGUAUUUAUGGAACAAGCUCUGAUCAUAAAGUAUUUAUUGCUUUAAUAUUUUUGUUAGAUUUCACUUU
rnacentral:lncRNA from 1 species